ensembl:snoRNA
AGGAAUGAUGAUUUCUCAGUAGUCUCUGAUGCAGGUCUUGAUGUCAAAAAUUAAGUUCUAACUC